UGGGGAAUAUUGGGCAAUGGGCGCAAGCCUGAUCCAGCCAUGCCGCGUGAGUGAAGAAGGCCUUAGGGUUGUAAAGCUCUUUCACCCGUGAAGAUGAUGACGGUAACGGGAGAAGAAGCCCCGGCUAACUCCGUGCCAGCAGCCGCGGUAAUACGGAGGGGGCGAGCGUUGUUCGGAAUUACUGGGCGUAAAGGGCGCGUAGGCGGAUGAUCAAGUCAGGGGUGAAAGUCCUGGGCUCAACCUGGGGACUGCCUUUGAAACUGAUCGUCUUGAGACCGGGAGAGGAUGGCGGAAUUCCCAGUGUAGAGGUGAAAUUCGUAGAUAUUGGGAAGAACACCGGUGGCGAAGGCGGCCAUCUGGACCGGAUCUGACGCUGAGGCGCGAAAGCGUGGGGAGCAAACAGGAUUAGAUACCCCUGUAGUCC
rnacentral:rRNA from 1 species